rnacentral:rRNA from 1 species
UACGUAGGGGGCAAGCGUUGUCCGGAUUUAUUGGGCGUAAAGAGCGUGUAGGCGGCUUUACAGGUCCGUUGUGAAAACUCGAGGCUCAACUCGGAUGCCGGUGGAUACUGUCGGGCUUGAGUACGGAAGAGGCGAGUGGAAUUCCUGGUGUAGCGGUGAAAUGCGCAGGAUAUCAGGAGGAACACCGGUGGCGAAGGCGGGUCUCUGGGCAGUAACUGACGCUGAGGAGCGAAAGCGUGGGGAGCGAACAGG